AUCUCGCCCUCUCGCCGCCAACCAAGCUUCAAGGUUGUGAUUUUGGUUUAUAAUCUAAUUCUGGCGAAACUACAUAUUGAUCAAUCAGCGCGCACCUGCUCACGUCGACGCCGUUGGCACCUCCGGCCGGCUAACGAAUCGCUGCCGUUCCCAUCUGCUGUCUCGCCGUCAACCGUCUAGGGCUCUAUAUGUCGCUCUCCAGUCAGGUAGAGCUUCAUGUUGCUCAGCAAGAACCACAUAAUGGGUUUUCUUCAGUUGACAAAAGGGAUAAGAACGAUUUCACAUAAAGUAAAAUGGCAGCUGAAUGAUUUCUAAAGUGAUAAAAAGAUGCGAGAGCUUAUGCAUACAAUGCAAAACCAUCUGAGAUGUCCUUUGUCUAAGCAUGCAAAGAAGGCAUUACAGCUUCCUGCUUUAGCACCUUCAUGUGCUUUAAUUCACAAAAUUCUGCCUAAAUUGAUAUUCAACUGAAAGUCAAUACUGUUUUCAUUAAAAUAAAUGUUAAAUAAAAAAAGAAGGUAGAUUUACUUUUCGAGCAUAAGUGUCAUCUGUGAAUCUACAUUAUUAACAUAACAUCUGUGAAUCUCCAUUAUUAACAUAUUCUAGAAUAAAUUAAUACAUCAAACAUAUUACUUGAUAAAAUAUAAUGAUAUAGUAAUUG